rnacentral:rRNA from 2 species
UCUGGUGCUACUUGCGGCGGGGCCACACCUGAUCCCAUCCCGAACUCAGAAGUUAAGCCCGCCAGCGCCGAUGGUACUCGGACAUUAAGUCCCGGGAGAGUAGGUCAGCGCCGGAA